CACGAAGAAAACUAUAAAUAUAAGUCAAAAGUAAGAGGUAGGCAGACACAUUUAAUGCACACAUUUGUUUCACUCUCUAUCUCUACCUUUAAUAAAAAGAUUAAAAACUGACUUUAGCGUCGGAGUGCCUUUAGCAGGUACCGGACUUCACAUAACAGCUUGAUUAAGGACCCUCAAACAACCGGACAAGUGAGGUACAGAACCGAAGAAGAUCCGGAG
rnacentral:lncRNA from 1 species